rnacentral:rRNA from 1 species
GACGAACGCUGGCGGCGUGCUUAACACAUGCAAGUCGAACGGAAAGGCCCUGCUUUUGUGGGGUGCUCGAGUGGCGAACGGGUGAGUAACACGUGAGUAACCUGCCCUUGACUUUGGGAUAACUUCAGGAAACUGGGGCUAAUACCGUAUAGGAUCUCCUGCUGCAUGGUGGGGGUUGGAAAGUUUCGGCGGUUGGGGAUGGACUCGCGGCUUAUCAGCUUGUUGGUUGGGUAGUGGCUUACCAAGGCUUUGACGGGUCGCCGGCCUGAGAGGGUGACCGGGCACCUGGGGCCUGAGAGACGGCCCAGACUCCUACGGGAGGCAGCAGUGGGGAAUAUUGCACAAUGGGCGGAAGCCUGAUGCAGCAGCGCCGCGGGCGGGAUGACGGCCUUCGGGUUGUAAACCGCUUUAGCCUGUGACGAAGCGUGAGUGACGGUAAUGGAUAAAGAAGCACCGGCUAACUACGUG